GACGAACGCUGGCGGCGUGCUUAACACAUGCAAGUCGAACGGUGAAAGCGGAGCUUGCUCCGCUGGAUCAGUGGCGAACGGGUGAGUAACACGUGGGCAACCUGCCCCUCACUUCGGGAUAACUCCGGGAAACCGGGGCUAAUACCGGAUAUGACCUCCUUGGGCAUCCUUGGAGGUGGAAAGUUUUUCGGUGAGGGAUGGGCCCGCGGCCUAUCAGCUUGUUGGUGAGGAAGUGGCUCAACAAGGCGACGACGGGUAGCCGGCCUGAGAGGGCGACGGGCCACAAUGGGACUGGGACACGGCCCAGACUCCCACGGGAGGCAGCAGUGGGGAAUAUUGCGCAAUGGGCGAAAGCCUGACGCAGCGACGCCGCGUGCGGGAUGACGGCCUUCGGGUUGUAAACCGCUUUCAGCAGGGAAGAAGCCGCAAGGUGACGGUACCUGCAGAAGAAGCACCGGCUAACUACGUGCCAGCAGCCGCAGUAA
rnacentral:rRNA from 1 species